rnacentral:rRNA from 1 species
UGGGGAAUUUUCCGCAAUGGGCGAAAGCCUGACGGAGCAAGACCGCGUGAGGGAGGAAGGCCUACUGGUUGUAAACCUCUUUUGAUAGGGAAGAAGAAAGUGACGGUACCUAUCGAAUCAGCAUCGGCUAACUCCGUGCCAGCAGCCGCGGUAAUACGGAGGAUGCAAGCGUUAUCCGGAAUUAUUGGGCGUAAAGCGUCCGUAGGUGGUUAUUCAAGUCAGCUGUCAAAGGAUGGAGCUUAACUCCAUAAAGGCAGUUGAAACUGUGUAGCUAGAGUGCGAUAGGGGCAAGGGGAAUUCCCAGUGUAGCGGUGAAAUGCGUAGAUAUUGGGAAGAACAUCGGUGCGAAAGCGCCUUGCUGGGUCUGCACUGACACUGAGGGACGAAAGCUAGGGGAGCGAAAGGGAUUAGAUACCCCUGUAGUCUUAGCUGUAAACGGUGGAUACUAGGCGUUGUCCGUAUCGACCCGGCAGUGCCGUAG